rnacentral:lncRNA from 1 species
AUUUUGGACAUGGAUUUAUAUAUGGAAAGGGAUUUCAUUCUGGACGUGAAUUUCUCUGUAUGAACUUAACGAGGGGGAAGGACGUGAGGUCAGACUUAGGGGAUUUCUCUAUUGCCACUUAGGCUUCAGCAGCAUGUGCUGUUCGUGUCCCUUGCACUGUAACCCUCAGUCGAACCAGCUGGGACAGUGGGGCUGGUUAUAACUUAAGUGGGGAAAUAGAAGGGUGGGUCAUAUUUUGGCCUAAGUGUGUAGGACGGCGUUGGGUUACUCAAUUAACGUCCUGUUCUAACCUAUUCAGAGGCUUCUGGGGGCUGCUGCUCUCUAGCAGAUAUUGAUGGAGGAGCCUCAGCUAGCUAGGAACAAAACUGUAUUGAUGGGCUGCUGAUUGUCCCCCAUCCCCCAACGCAGGAGGCAGCCACUCUCCUGCUAGGCAGACCAGGAAGUCGAGAGAGAAGAAAAACCGGGUGACCAUAGCGAUAGAGGUGCUUCACUCCCGCUUCCCCCUUCCCACGUAAGACCUUCUUCUGACCACUGUCCUCCCAGCUCCUGCCAGAAGAUGGCUUUUCCAACCUGCUUGGUCAGAACCCAGGACAUCGACCGGGCCACGGUCACGGCCUUAGUGGACCCCAACUCAGGACUCCCAGCUGGGUUCAUUCUGAGGGGUUUCCUGCAGACAGUGGCAGAAAUCACAGCACAGGAGGACACAGGUUCCCAGAUCCCUGACAGCCCUUUCCGGACACAUUCUUCUUGAAUCUGGGCUUCCCUGGGCUAAAUGCCUCCCACUCUUCCAGCUGUCGUCCUCAGGUUGUUACUGCAGGAAACAGCGUUUCUCCUCCCAUUGAGCAGAAGGUGAGAUCGCAGCCACAAAACGCUGAGGGAAGCCAGUGGGGGAGGAUGUGGCUGUAGGCUUUUAGGGGAAUUGAUCUGGAGGCCCAGGGACAGGAGCAAAGAAGGCUUCAGGGAGAUAAUGGGAGUGGUGUGCGAAUGGCCCCGUUAGGUGGUCCAGAAACUGCCUCAGAUGGGACGGGGGCAAUAGAAAGACCCAGCCUCCCUGCCCUAUGGGGACCCCGUCCUCUGACAAAGUGGUCUUUUCGGAUACAGGGGCCCAAGCCUUGUGGCCCCCAAGACGACCAAAGGCAGUGAUGGGGUGCCCAGCCCCAACUCAUAGGCUGCGUGUUGAUGCAUAAGAGCCUGGAAAAUAGCCCCCUCAAAGUAUGACCUGCGGCAAGACACUCCCCCCCACCCUGCUCUGUGAGCCUCAGUUUCCCUGACUGUAAAAUGGAAGUGUGUAGCCAAAAGUGCUCCUGGAGGGCCUGCUCACCACUGGGGCUCUUGACAGUGGUCCAUUCGGAUGGGGGCCAGGUGGAUGUUGGCAGGCAGCCUGGACUCCAGCAGAGCUUGGAGACCCAGGUUCCAGCUCUGCUUCUGCCUGUGACCUGCUUUGCAGUUGGGGCAAGUUCCUGAGUCUCUCGGAGCCUGUUUCCUUAGCUGGAAAAGAGGGAACAGGAUACACAAUCACACUCAAGAGUCUCUCCAACUCCAAUGUCUUGUGUGCUUGACUUUGCCGGAGGUCUGAGGACAGUCUGUGGGAGCCGCCGAGGAGGGCCUGGCUUCUCCGGAGGACGGGUCCUGCAGGACUCCACCUGUGUAAGCAGUAUUUACUGAGCACCGUCUUGAGGGGGCCCCUGUUGUAGGCACGUGGACGUGUCAGGGGACAGAAACGAAGGCCCCCGGUGGAGACCAGGGCAGGCCAAGCAUGGAUCCGGGGCAUUGGUGUCCACUGUACAUAGAAGGAAGAGACCUUGUUCUUCCAGGAAACCAAGCGGGAAUCCCUUUGUAAAUCAAAGGAAGUCCCUUCAUUUCUCUCCUGAAUAAAGACUCCGUUUUUAUAAACUGUGUUUGCUUA